UACGUAGGGUGCGAGCGUUUAAUCGGAAUUACUGGGCGUAAAGCGUGCGCAGGCGGUUUUGUAAGCCGGAUGUGAAAUCGCCCGGCUUAACUGGGCGGGGGCCUUCCAGACGGCAUGACUUGAGCAGCGGAGGGGGACGUGGAAUUCCGGGUGGAGCGGUGAAAUGCGUAGAGAUCGGGAGGAACACCAGAGGCGAAGGCGGCGACCUGGACAGUUACUGACACUCAACUACGAAAGCGUGGGGAGCAAACAGG
rnacentral:rRNA from 1 species